AGAUCGAACGGCCCACAUUACCCAGAUUUGCCACCCACCUAAUCCCGCCAAAGCCUGAACUCAGUCGCCUCUUCUGGAAGACUCCACAACCCACGCUCGCCUCCAGCAAAUCUAUUCCCGCCAAGGCUCCAGCAAUUCGAUUCCCCGCCAAGGCGCAGCCUCGCUCACUUCACCACCAUAUCCAUAUGCUCUGUGUGAAAUUUCUCUAGCGUGUACAUCUCACACCACGAUCUCCGCCAGUUCAUAACCGCCGGCCACGCCCCCAGCUCCUUCCAAUCACCUCAGCGUACAGAUUGCAACUUCACCAUCGUCUCCUUGCAAGCUCUGACUUGGUUCGAUUUUUUUUGCCGCCUGGUGAGUCCAGGUUCAUGAGAGCUGGACAUCCUCCUACAACCAGCUGACCAUAGUGCCACCGACGGACCACAAGUUGUGGCUGAAAACACCUGGCUUCUAACAAUCAAGAAUCGAAGUCAUAACCGCUAGCUGUCCAGUAAAACCCAAGAGAUGGAAGGCCGAAUUCCUUUCAGAGAUAUUACAAAUGUUCACUCGAUGACUUCACCAAAAGGGAACCAACUAGCUGCGGUUGCAGAGCAGAAUGAUCCUUUAGCAGAAACCAAUAAGGCUAUCCAAAUGAAUUCUUCCCAGCGUAAGCGUUACCGCGACCGGGAUAGGUAUUUGCAAAUGACUCCAUAUCAGAGGGAAGCCUAUCUGCAAAGGAAUCGAGAGGAAGUCGUGGGCAGUUCAAACUAUGAGAGGCACGAUUCAGUAUUUACUCAACUAGGGUCUUCAUCAAAAGGCAAACAAGAUAGUGGUGGUUCUGAGACAAGCCGUCCAAAAGCUGGAACUUGGUUCACUAUCAGUCCAUCUGGCAUAUAUUUAUCCUCGAUAUCCUCGCAAGAACAAGCUACAAAGUAUGAAUUGAAAAAUGUGGGUCAGCGUAAGCGACAACAUUGCACCAAUGUGUACUCACAACUAUCACAUGAUCAAGAAGAAACACAUGUACAAGAGAUUUGUGGCCCUAAUAAAAGAAAGAGGUCAGAAAAAGGAAGUUGUAGUACUGCACGGGAUCCUGGUAGAAAUACCAACAACUUGCAUGAAGACAUCAUUUAUGUGCCCCAGGAUUAUUUUCCUGUCAUUCAUGAUUAUCUGGCAAAUACCGAAGACAACAUUGAGUGCGAUGAGGUGGAUGAUGAAAGUCUUAUGUAUAAUGGGCCAGGUCUUGACUUUGAAUCAUAUCAAGAACCAAAGCUUGUUACAAGGUGUAUACAAGCAGAUCCAUAUGAUCGUAUAUAUCAUAAUGUGCCCAGUGGUCAUCAUUUUCUAGAGCGAGUGCCCAACUGUAGACAUUGUAAUGCGAAAAGGUUCCCAUAUGAGACACCAACUUUUUGUUGCAUGAAUGGAAAGGUGAAGAUAGUAACCCCAGUGGUUCCUGAAGAAUUGCGUCAGUUGUACACGAGUCAGGAUCCAAAUGCAAAAUACUUCCAAGAUCAUAUACGGUACUUCAAUUCUCAUUUCUCUUUUACCUCUCUUGGUGUCAUCUUGGACCAAAGGUUCUGCAAUAGGAGGUCUAGAGUUUACACCUUUCGUGCACAGGGCCAAAUUUAUCACCGUAUUGACCAGUUGGUUCCAAAAGAAGAUGGCCCCAAGCAUUUACAGUUAUACUUCUAUGACACGGAUGCAGAUUUGCAACAAAGAUUUCUUCACUCGCCUAACUUAAACCAAAUUCUCAUCCGUAAGUUGGUAAAUAUACUUUCAAGUAACCCUUAUGUACAAAUAUUUAGAAACCUUGGUUCUAUUCCAAACCUUGAUGAAUAUAUGAUUGAGCUCAACACAGAUAUUGCCUUAGAUCAGAGAGUAUAUAAUGCUCCAACAACAUCACAAGUAGCAGCAAUCUGGGUUGAGGGAAAUAAUCCUCGAGGUCAUUUUGACAGGAGUAUCAUGGUGUAUGGUAAAUCGGACAAACCACAGUACAUAAAAGGAUACCAUGGUUGCUAUGACCCAUUGUCAUAUCCGCUUAUUUUCCCGAAAGGGAAGUUGGAUGGAACUUGAAUUUACCAAAAGUUGGUCCCCAUGCUAGGAGGAAGAGAGAUGAUCAAGCAAAUGCUCUCAACGAAGAAGGGAUGGAAAAGAGCCCUGGUUCUUGUGUGUCACCAAGAGAAUAUUAUUGUUAUAAGUUACAAAUUCGAGAUGGUGAUUUCAACGUCUUACUAUUCGGAAGGCGAUUAACUCAACAGUAUAUUGUUGAUAUGUACAUCAAGAUUGAGUCAAUAAGGCUGGCUUUCUAUUUACAACCGUCAACUCAAGUUCUCAUACGUGCAGAUUUAUAUCAAGGAUUGGUUGAUAGCGUUGUAGCUGGUGAGACACGUGCAUGCAUGACAGGAAAGCGUAUUGUGCUCCCCCCAAAAUUUAUUGGAGGACCAAGAGACAUGCGUCGAAGGUAUCUAGAUGCAAUGGCAUUGGUCCAGCGAUUUGGGAAGCCAGACUUAUUCAUUACAAUGACAUGCAACCCGCAGUGGGAAGAGAUAACUAGAGAGUUGGAACCAGGCCAAUCACCACAAGAUCGUCCAGAUUUGGUAGCACGAGUCUUCAAGGCAAAGUUGGAGGAUCUUAAAGAUCUUUUAUUCAAGAGAAAAUUAUUUGGUGAAGUCGCUGCACAUGUUCAUGUAAUAGAAUUUCAGAAGAGAGGCCUACCGCAUGCACACUUCUUAAUUAUUCUGAAGUCAAAUUGCAAGAUUACUAAUCCAGAUCAAUACGAUGAGAUAAUAUCAGCAGAGAUCCCAGAUAAAGACAAAUACCCUGUACUGCAUGCUUUAGUUAUUAAGCACAUGAUGCACGGACCAUGUGGAGUUCUCAACAGUAAGAAUGCUUGCAUGGAAAAUGGAAAUUGUAGAUACCAUUAUCCGCGGACAUUCUCAGAUACAACAUUACAAGGAAAGGACUCAUAUCCAAUUUAUAGACGGAGGGAUGAUGGUCGUCGAGUGCGCAUUAGGGGUGCGGUCUUGGAUAAUAGAUGGGUUGUUCCUUACAACCCAUAUCUACUUAUGCGAUACAAUUGCCAUAUCAAUAUAGAAGUUUGCUCUAGCAUUAAGGCUGUUAAAUAUUUAUUUAAGUACAUAUACAAAGGUCAUGAUCGCGCCUCCUUUGUCAUUGAGUCCAGAGGAGAUAAUGUUGUUAUAGAUGAGAUUCGUGAAUAUAGGGAUGCAAGGUUUAUAUCACCUCCAGAGGCAAUAUGGAGGAUUUAUUCUUUCAAUCUAAGUGAGAUGUCACCUCCAGUUUUGCAGUUGCAGGUCCAUUUGCCAAAUAUGCAUCUUGUGCAUUAUGAAGACUCCGAUAAUUUGGAUAAUGUUUUACGCAGAGAAUCAUCUUCAAAAACAAUGCUUAGUGAAUAUUUUAGAAUGAAUUCUGUUGACAUUUACGCGAGAAAUUUCUUGUAUAAGGAGUUUCCAGAAUAUUUUGUGUGGGACAGCAGUUGCAAAAGUUGGAGACGUCGCAAACAGAAACGAAUUCAGAUUGGGAGACUUGUGUCUGCGCACCCUGCUGAAGGAGAGCGUUAUUACUUGAGGAUCCUACUAAACCACGUGAGGGGAGCCAAAUCAUUUGAGGAUCUACGAACUAUUGAAGGUACUAUUUUCUCGACUUUUAGAGAGGCUGCACAGAGAAGGGGUCUCAUUGAAGAUGAUCGUAGUAUUUCAGAUUGUCUCAGCGAGGCUGCGACAUUUCAAAUGCCCUCUGCACUUAGAAGACUUUUUGCAACAAUUUUAGUUUUCUGUGAGGUAACAAAUGUCCGUGAACUGUGGGACAAGCAUUUAGAAGCCAUGUGUGAUGAUUUUCGAAGAGAAAAUGUAAAUGUUGAAGUAGCUGAGCGAAUGGUGCUUAAAGAUCUUAGAAGUUUGUUAUAUUCAAUGGGGAAGGACAUAAAUAACUUUGGCUUGCCAUGCUUACUAGAUAACAAUGAUUUAGAGAGCUUAAGUUGGAGAGAAGUGUGUGAUGAGAUGUCUAUUGAGGUUGAGCAGGAACACUUAGAUUUGUAUGACAAACUAAAUAGUGAGCAGCGACUUGCUUUUGAUGAGAUAAUGACUCAUGUCUUGCACCAGAAGAGUAUGGUUUUUUUCAUAGAUGGUCCGGGAGGUACAGGGAAAACAUACCUUUAUAAGGCUUUGCUCGCAAAGGUGCGGUCAAUGGGACUAAUAGCUAUCGUAACAGCAACCUCUGGAAUUGCUGCAUCUAUCAUGUCUGGCGGUAGAACAGCUCAUUCCAGAUUCAAAAUUCCAAUUAAUAUUCAGGAUGACAGCAUGUGCAACUUCAGUAAACAAAGUGGAACUGCAGAAUUACUUCGGAGGUCGUCUUUAAUAAUUUGGGACGAAGUUGCUAUGACAAAGCGUCAAGCUGUGGAGGCACUUGAUAGAUCUCUGCAAGAUAUCACCAGUUGUGGAUCACCAUUUGGAGGGAAAGUAGUAGUGUUUGGAGGUGAUUUUAGACAGGUUCUUCCGGUGGUGAGGCAUGGCACUAGAGCACAAAUUACAGAUGCUACACUAAAAAAGUCUUAUCUUUGGCCAGACAUAAGACAUAUCAAACUAUGGCGCAAUAUGAGGGCAUUGUUUGAUCCAUGGUUCUCUGAUUUUCUCCUUAGAAUUGGUAAUGGUACAGAGGAAUCAAUUGGUCAAGAUUAUGUGCGCCUGCCUGAAGAAAUUGUUAUAGGUUACACAGAUGUAAAGGCCUCUGUUGGUAAGUUAAUUGAUGAAAUCUUCCCUUUAAUGGACAAAAAUGGAAACUCGCCAUCUUAUAUUAGUGCACGUGCCAUUCUUUCCACAAAGAAUGAAUAUGUGGAUGAGUUAAAUGAAAUGCUUAUUGAUCGAUUUCCUGGAGAAGAAAAGGUCUAUUACAGUUUUGACUCGGUGGUUGAUGAUCCACAUAAUCACUAUCAACCUGAGUUCCUAAAUUCACUCACACCUAAUGGCCUACCUCCGCAUAUUCUCAGAUUGAAGAUCAACUGCCCUGUUAUUUUGAUUCGCAAUCUUGAUCCUUCUAAUGGUUUAUGCAACGGUACAAGGCUUAUUAUUAAGGCAUUUCAAGAUAAUGCUAUUGAUGCAGAAAUUAUUGGCGGACAAUAUGCUGGGAAGCGAGUGUUCCUUCCACGAAUUCCUCUCUAUCCUUCAGAGGAUGAUGCUCUCCCCUUCAAGUUUAAAAGAAAACAAUUUCCAAUUCGGCUUAGUUUUGCCAUGACAAUCAACAAAGCCCAGGGUCAAACCAUCCCAAAUGUUGGCAUAUAUCUUCCUGAGCCGGUGUUUUCUCAUGGCCAACUCUAUGUUGCUUUGUCUAGAGGGACAUCAAGACAAACAACUAGAAUACUUGCAAGGCCAAAUAAGGAUAUUGACCCAUCAGGGAAAAGCACAAAAAAUAUUGUCUACAGGGAUGUUUUGGUAUAAUCCAUGAACAUGCUCUGUACUGCAGUGAUGUUUCUAAUAUGGUUGUAUUCAUGUAAAUAGUACCCAGGAAAGAUAAUGUUAGAUAGGGUUUCAGUCAUUAUCUUGUCCGUGUGAAAAUUGUAGACCAAAAGAUAUGUUUACAGGGGUAAUAUUCUAGCAUGUACAGUACUUAAAUCUACAGAUUUACCGUUCUUCUCUCAGUUAUAGCAUAUAACAGAAAUCGAGAAACAUAAGUUAGCACAUAUCAUUUUUUGUGAUAGCCAUUGGGCUUCACAAGUAUAUGCAAUAAACGCACAUUUUUCAGUUU